rnacentral:rRNA from 1 species
UACAGGGGGUGCAAACGUUGCUCGGAAUUAUUGGGCGUAAAGCGCACGUAGGCGGUCUGUCACGUCUGCUGUGAAAACUCGGGGCUUAACCCCGGGCCUGCAGUGGGUACGGGCAGACUAGAGUGCGGUAGGGGAGACUGGAAUUCCUGGUGUAGCGGUGAAAUGCGCAGAUAUCAGGAGGAACACCGGUGGCGAAGGCGGGUCUCUGGGCCGUAACUGACGCUGAGGAGCGAAAGCGUGGGGAGCGAACAGG